GCCAGGCAUGGUGGCACAUGCCUGUAAUCCCAGCUACUCGGGAGGCUGAGGCAGGAGAAUUGCUUGAACCCGGGAGGCGGAGGUUGCAGUGAGCCCAGAUUGUGCCACUGCACUCCAGCCUGGGUGACAGAGUGAGACUCUGUCUCAA
rnacentral:SRP_RNA from 2 species